rnacentral:rRNA from 1 species
AACGUAGGACGCAAGCGUUAUCCGGAGUUACUGGGCGUAAAGCGCGGGCAGGCGGCUCGAAACGUCUGAUGUGAAAUCUCCUCGCUCAACGGGGAGAGGCCAUUGGAAACGGUCGAGCUGGAGGGCAGUAGAGGUAGGCGGAAUUCCGGGUGGAGUGGUGAAAUGCGUAGAGAUCCGGAGGAACACCAGAGGCGAAGGCGGCCUACUGGGCUGCACCUGACACUGAGGCACGAAAGCUAGGGGAGCAAACGGG